rnacentral:rRNA from 1 species
CAUUACUGAGUGAGGGCCCUCUGGGUCCAACCUCCCACCCGUGUUUAUUAUACCUUGUUGCUUCGGCGGGCCCGCCGUAAGGCCGCCGGGGGGCUUCUGCUCCCGGGCCCGCGCCCGCCGAAGACAUCUCGAACUCUGUCUGAAGAUUGUAGUCUGAGUAUAAAUAUAAAUUAUUUAAAACUUUCAACAACGGAUCUCUUGGUUCCGGCAUCGAUGAAGAACGCAGCGAAAUGCGAUACGUAAUGUGAAUUGCAGAAUUCAGUGAAUCAUCGAGUCUUUGAACGCACAUUGCGCCCUCUGGUAUUCCGGAGGGCAUGCCUGUCCGAGCGUCAUUGCUGCCCUCAAGCACGGCUUGUGUGUUGGGCCCCGUCCUCCGAUCCCGGGGGACGGGCCCGAAAGGCAGCGGCGGCACCGCGUCCGGUCCUCGAGCGUAUGGGGCUUUGUCACCCGCUCUGUAGGCCCGGCCGGCGCUUGCCGAUCAACCAAAAAUUUUUUCCAGGUUGACCUCGGAUCAGGUAGGGAUACCCGCUGAACUUAAGCAUAUCAAA